rnacentral:rRNA from 1 species
UAGGGAGUCUUCGGCAAUGGACGAAAGUCUGACCGAGCAACGCCGCGUGAGUGAAGAAGGUUUUCGGAUCGUAAAGCUCUGUUGUAAGUCAAGAACGUGUGUGAGAGUGGAAAGUUCACACAGUGACGGUAGCUUACCAGAAAGGGACGGCUAACUACGUGCCAGCAGCCGCGGUAAUACGUAGGUCCCGAGCGUUGUCCGGAUUUAUUGGGCGUAAAGGGAGCGCAGGCGGUCAGGAAAGUCUGGAGUAAAAGGCUAUGGCUCAACCAUAGUGUGCUCUGGAAACUGUCUGACUUGAGUGCAGAAGGGGAGAGUGGAAUUCCAUGUGUAGCGGUGAAAUGCGUAGAUAUAUGGAGGAACACCAGUGGCGAAAGCGGCUCUCUGGUCUGUCACUGACGCUGAGGCUCGAAAGCGUGGGUAGCGAACAGGAUUAGAUACCCUGGUAGUCCACGCCGUAACGAUGAGUGCUAGGUGUUAGGCCCUUUCCGGGGCUUAGUGCCGGAGCUAACGCAAUAAGCACUCCGCCUGGGGAGUACGACCGCAAGGUU